CGGCCGCGCGGGCCAAUCCCCGGGGUAGGCGGCGUCCGGCCGCAGCGCCGCGGGGGCGCUCUGCAGCCCCGAGCGCGGGCACCGCGGCCGUGCGCUCCCUCGGGCUCCGCCCGCUGGGCGCGGGGCGUGCGGCCGGCUCCAGGGGCGUCGGGUCUGGGAAGCAAGGAGUCUCUGAUAAGAUUGAAGUCACAAUGUGAAACUGUUGAUUUGAACCCAAAAGGGGACAAAACAUGGGCCUGAAGUCAGCAACUGUACCAUACUCCGGACUUGAAGCUAGAAACUAAAAGUAUAUGCACAUUGCCAGCCAGAUCUUUACCCUGCUUCUGACCAAGCUUCUGGAACGUGUGCUUCAAAUUGCAUGCUCCUGGACAAUGGCACAGCAUGGUGUUUUCACUGAGGAAACAUUCUCCUCAACCAGGGCACCUGGGUGGCUCCGUUGGUGACGUGUCCAGCUCUUGGUUCGGCUUAGGUCAUGAUCUCACAGUUGGGCAUUCUUGUCAGGUACCAACUACGAGCUGGGCAGUCUGUCGGGUCACUUGAACCCUGGAGUGCAGGUAAGGGAUGUGACCGUGUUCUCUUGGGGUUUCCAACUGAGUGAGAGAGAAACAUUAAAACCUCAUACAAAUGAAUGUGUAUUUACAAAUUACACCACACUGUGAAGGAACAGUAGAUACCUGUAAGCACUGUUACCAGACAUAUCUCCUGGUCAGCUGGCUUGUUUCCAGGAAAAUAUCAGGAUUCAUAACACCCAAUGCAUUUUCAUGGUCCUAGCUGCAGCCACAUGCGAUGCUUUCAAGUCCUAUUAGAUUUUUAUGAAGUAGGGAGGGGUAAAUACUUGUGUUUAUGGGGCACCUGGGUGUCUCAGUCGGUUGAGCGUCCGACUUCGGCUCAGGUCAUGAUCUUGCAGUUUGUGAG